rnacentral:rRNA from 1 species
AGUNGUCAUAUGCUUAUCUCAAAGAUUAAGCCAUGCAUGUCUAAGUACACAGUCUCAUAAACUGAAACCGCGGAUGGCUCAUUAUAACAGCUACUAUUUAAGAGACAUAAUCUUUUGCCAUGGGAUAACUGUGGUAAUUCUAGAGCUAAUAUUUAACAGAAUGCCGUGACUCACGAAGCGGCGGAUUUAUUAGAUCAAAACUAACCUGUCGCAAGGCAGCAUUUUGAUGACUCUGGAUAACUUUACUGAUCGUACAACGCUAUGUUGACGACGAAUCUCUUGAAGUGUCUGACCUAUCAACUUUCGAUGGUNAGAUCAAAGCUUACCAUGGUUAUNACGGGUUACGGGGAAUCNNUGUUCGAUUCCGGAGAGGGAGCCUGAGAAACGGCUACCACAUCCACGGAAGGCAGCAGGCGCGAAAAUUACCCACUGCCGGUUCGGCGAGGUAGUGACAAAAAAUAACAAUAUGGACCCUAGUGGUUUCAUAAUUGCAAUGAGAACAUUUUAAAUACUUUAUCAAGUAUCAAUUGGAGGGCAAGUCUGGUGCCAGCAGCCGCGGUAAUUCCAGCUCCAAAAGCGUAUAUUAAAGUUGUUGCAGUUAAAAAGCUCGUAGUUGAAAUUGAGGAAUCGAUUGUAGGGAAGCUUCGGCUGAAAUACUGAUUGUCCUUUYAGUCGUGUAUAUUCUUGAGUCACUYAAUUGAGAUUUUUGAAUAACCGACAAGUUUACUUUGAAAAAAUUAGAGUGCUUAAAGCAGGCUUAUGCUUGUAUAUUGUUGCAUGGAAUAAUAGAAUAAGACUUCGGUUUUAUUUUGUUGGUUUUCGAAACUGAAGUAAUGAUUAAAAGAGACUGCCGGGGGCAUAUGUAUGCUGGUGCUAGAGGUGAAAUUCUGAGACCAUCAGCAGACAAUCUACUGCGAAAGCAUUUGCCNAGAAUGUUUUCAUUAAUCWGGAACGAAAGUCUGAGGAUCGAAGACGAUCAGAUACCGUCCUAGUUCUGACCAUAAACUAUGCCAACUGACAGUUAGCAAAGAUAUUUAUUUCAUCUUGCUAGAAGUCACCGGGAAACCUAAGUCUUUGGGUUCCGGGGGAAGUAUGGUUGCAAAGCUGAAACUUAAAGGAAUUGACGGAAGGGCACCACCAGGAGUGGAGCCUGCGGCUUAAUUUGACUCAACACGGGAAAUCUCACCCGGUCCGGACACUGUGAGGAUUGACAGAUUGAUAGCUCUUUCUUGAUUCGGUGGGUGGUGGUGCAUGGCCGUUCUUAGUUGGUGGAGCGAUUUGUCAGGUUAAUUCCGAUAACGAACGAGACUCUGACUUGCUAAAUAGUGGAUCUAUUUUAAUACGUAAAUGAUCACUUCUUUAGAAGAAUAAAUAGCGUUUAGCUAAAUGAAGAAGAGCAAUAACAGGUCUGUGAUGCCCUAAGAUGUCSGGGCCCACACGCGCGNNAACANUGGCAGUAACAAGGAGUUAUGUCCUUACUAGAAAUNGUUGGGUUAUCUUGUUAAACACUGUCGUAACAGGAAUUGUGAAUUGAAAUUAUUUCACAUAAACGAGGAAUUCCUAGUAAGCGCAAGUCACUAGCUUGCGCUGAWUACGUCCCUGCCCUUWGUACACACCGCCCGUCGSUACUACCGAUUGAAUGGUUUAGUGAGAUUGUUGGAUUCUGAGCUAAGAAAUGGCAACAUUUCUAUGAUUGGGAAAAGACACCCAAACUUGAUCAUUUAGAGGAAGUUAAANUCGUAACNAGGUUUCCGUAGGUNAACCUGCGGAAGGA